GCGCCGUUAGCUCAGCUGGAUAGAGUAUCUGACUACGAAUCAGAAGGUCGCAGGUUCGAAUCCUGCACGGCGCACCA
rnacentral:tRNA from 3 species